GGCAUCUGAGUCGGCGCCUCAGUCGGUCGGUGGGGCGGCGGGGGCCUCCUCAGUCGCCGUGUUGAGAGCGCCGUGUCGCGGACUCGCUUGACCUUCUCAAGGUGGCGGCAUAAAAAGCGGAUAAAUCGAGGUGCCCCCUCCGUGCCGGAGAGUGGCAGAAAGGUCCCUGCUGCUUGCCCUGUCCUCGGUGGGCAGAGAGCUCUGACCUCCGCCGGAUGGGCUGCCAAUUCUGAAACGCUCACCAGAGAUCUGCCUGGGAGGAGAAGCAGAGCCAAGCACUGAGAACUGACAAGUGAGCUCCGGUGAGGACUGCCGCUCCCCCUGCCUUGGUGUGGGACCUCCUGAGCUCCCCUUCCUGUGCUGGGAGUGUUUCUCCUCUCAUCCAGCCAAGCCAGAGACCUCCUAGGGAACAAGCAGGGAAGGUUUAAGCACCGAGAUCUCCCAAGUAAGAAGUGACGUGACAAAAGGAAAUGGCCUCAAGUUGCAGCAGGGAAGGCUUAGGUUGGAUUUGAGGAGAAAUUUCUUCACUGGAAGGGUGGUCAGGCCUAGGAGCAGGCUGCCCAGGGAAGCCCCCAUCCCUGGAGACAUUUCAAGGGUGUCCAGAUGUGGUGUUUAGGGACCUGGUUUGGGAGGGGCUUGGCAGUGCUGGGGCAACAGCUGGGCUCAGUGACCUUAGAAGGCUUUGCCAACCUAAAGGAUCCUAUGGUUCUGAACAGCCUUGACCCCUCUGGCUCAAAGACAGCACCUGGAUACGGAGGGAGGGAGGGAAAUCCUCUCUUCACAUGUGCCAGUUCAUCUGUGAAACUCAUCCCGGCAGGACAGCGUGAAGACUGAAAGUGUAAGAAGAUGUGGGGUGCAGUGGAGAAUGUGGCAGGAGCACCCAACACACAAGUGCACGAGUUUUGCUUUUUGCUUGGAUUGAAACUCAGAAGUUGUAAGGAAUUUGGGAAUGAGAUGGGAUGUUUCAGAAGAAGAGGAAGGAGGAGAAGAAGCAGAAAAAAGUAUUGUUACAGUCCUGGCAAAAUCUUUUUGUUCUAGCUAAUAAAAGAAGUUUUAAUGAAAAGGCAAAAAAUGU